UACGGGGGGAGCAAGCGUUGUUCGGAUUUACUGGGCGUAAAGGGCGCGUAGGCGGCCUGUCAAGUCAAUUGUGAAAUCUCCGGGCUUAACUCGGAACGGUCAAUUGAUACUGUCAGGCUAGAGUGCAGAAGGGGCAACUGGAAUUCUCGGUGUAGCGGUGAAAUGCGUAGAUAUCGAGAGGAACACCUGCGGCGAAGGCGGGUUGCUGGGCUGACACUGACGCUGAAGCGCGAAAGCUAGGGGAGCGAACGGG
rnacentral:rRNA from 1 species